CAUUAUUGCGGCAUUUCGUACGUUUGUUUGGGGUUGUGUGGCAAUAUGGAGUUGUUUGGGCUAGUGUGGCUUGUGUGUAGUUUAAUGUGGAGUUGGGAGACAUUGUGAAUGGUUGUGAUUGUCUGACGUGUGACGUUGUAUGAGGUAUUGUAGAAUUGUGUGAUGUUGUAGGACAAAGUCUUGAAUUUUUUUUUUUUUUUAGGUUGUGUGACAGGUGAAAGUGAGAUUUUGUUGCAGAGUGUGGCCAUGUGCGAUGUACUGUACCAUAGUGUUGUACCGAUGGUUGUGAAAAAAAAAAAACCGAGUAACUAUACCACAAAAAUUACUACCUUGGCAAUAAAGAAUAUUAGCAAAAGUAUAUUUGCUCCCUCCGGAACUAUUUUACCCUUAGUCCAUGUUUCCCGAACGGACAUUUGAUGCAGACGGAUGUCUUCUUGGACCAGUGAAAAAUAUUGCCAAAAGCGCCCUGGGAGUGUCUAGCAAAGUGAGAUGUGAUUUCCGUGGCAGCUUUUUCCUAGAAGCUAUACAUGACCAUCGGGGCGUGAGAACACGACGGCUCAGGUCGCCAACUGUGAAACGUGCUUGAAGGACUCCUCGGCGUCGUGCAUGCAGUGUAAAUCUCCAAUGUGGGAAGGGGAAGACGAAUAGAAUGUCUCAUAACAGCGCUCUGAGAUCCAGACAAUAUUCCACGAGGUACCACGACUCUGAACGCCUCACCUCUUGUCACAAAGCAACCAUGAUGAGUUUGUGAUCAAGUACAAGGUUUCAUCCUUGCAAAGCAAAACAACGGAGGUGUUUUUGUGCCAGUCGACAGACCGAGUGUCCACUCGAGUAGCCCCCGGAGAUGCCUUCUAAUCCCAGACGCGCUGCGAGGUCCUCCACCUCGUCCACUUGAGUUCGCCUCCGCCAAGAUGGGCUUUGAACGAGGCCACUUGAGGAAUACAAGAACACUUUGGCGUGGGGGGCGGAGUUCCAUGCACAUUUGUGUGCUUGGCCGCCAGGGGGCAGUAUACAUGGAGAGAGAAGAGACGGAGCUCCUCAGCACUUGUUCUUCACAGAGGAUAAAGAAUACAGCAUAUGACUGUGUGAAGCAGAAUCGUCUGUCCACCAACGCUCACCAAGGAGAACAGGGAAAAAUAUGGCAAAGGAACAGAAGCGAGACAAAUACUUGGAGUCAGGCCAGUCAAGUCCUUGAUCCAGCCUCCCCAAAAAUGAAGCCCCAAGAUGGAGACGGAAGGAAAAAGGACGGAGGAGUGUGCGGGGAGGGUGUCAUCGCUCACCGGUGGUCUCCACGAUGCCCUCCAGAAUCACCACAAUCUCAAACUGCUCGCUGGUGAGCGAACGUUGCGACAGGUCGAAGAAG